rnacentral:rRNA from 1 species
GAAAUUCCAAUCGAACUUGGAGAUAGCUGGUUCUCUCCGAAAUAGCUUUAGGGCUAGCCUCAAGUGAUGAUUAUUGGAGGUAGAGCACUGUUUGGACGAGGGGCCCCUCUCGGGUUACCGAAUUCAGACAAACUCCGAAUGCCAAAUAAUUUAACUUGGGAGUCAGAAUGUGGGUGAUAAGGUCCAUAUUCGAAAGGGAAACAGCCCAGACCACCAGCUAAGGUCCCAAAAUAUAUGUUAAGUGGAAAAGGAUGUGGCGUUGCCCAGACAACUAGGAUGUUGGCUUAGAAGCAGCCAUCAUUUAAAGAGUGCGUAAUAGCUCACUAGUCGAGUGACACUGCGCCGAAAAUGUACCGGGGCUAAACAUAUUACCGAAGCUGUGGAUUGUCCUUUGGACAAUGGUAGGAGAGCGUUCUAAGGGCGUUGAAGCAUGAUCGCAAGGACAUGUGGAGCGCUUAGAAGUGAGAAUGCCGGUGUGAGUAGCGAAAGACGGGUGAGAAUCCCGUCCACCGAUUGACUAAGGUUUCCAGAGGAAGGCUCGUCCGCUCUGGGUUAGUCGGGUCCUAAGCUGAGGCCGACAGGCGUAGGCGAUGGAUAACAGG